rnacentral:rRNA from 1 species
UACGGAGGGGACUAGCGUUGUUCGGAAUUAUUGGGCGUAAAGCGCACGUAGGCGGAUUUGUAAGUCAGGGGUGAAAUCCCGAGGCUCAACCUCGGAACUGCCUUUGAUACUGCAAAUCUCGAGUCCGGAAGAGGUGAGUGGAAUUCCUAGUGUAGAGGUGAAAUUCGUAGAUAUUAGGAAGAACACCAGUGGCGAAGGCGGCUCACUGGUCCGGUACUGACGCUGAGGUGCGAAAGCGUGGGGAGCAAACAGG